rnacentral:lncRNA from 1 species
GUUACAUUUCAGUUGCACAGUUGUACACGCCUUAUAUAUUGGGUUAUGGGACGGCCGGCCUCAGCUCCGGGAAGGCCGGGUGGACACUGUAUGAAUGUGUGGACUGCGGGAACAAAUACAAACACAAGGGCUCCCUGCAGCGACACAUAAAGUACGAGUGUAGGAAACAGCCCAGUUUCAAGUGCCCGUAUUGUGUGUACAGAGCGUACCAGAAGCACAAUUUGUUGUUGCACGAACGACAUCUACAUAAAGAUAUGCCGGAGAAAGUGGAUUUCGUGUCGGAAUGACCCGCGCCGCUAGCGACCAAUCCGUAACAAAACGCGUUGGCGAAAAUAUGAAACAGAAGAUAAUCCACCCAAGAUUAGAACAUGUCGAGUUGUUCAAUCAACCUUCAGCAUCAAUUCGCAAGUUAUAACUUAAAGAUAUUGUCCUUGCUCAGCUGCCAAAUUGUUAAACAUCAUAUUCUUACUAAGUAUAUGAUUAAUCACGACUUGUGAGAAAAAUCUAUAGCCAGUCUGAACUCAGUCACGUGGAGAAAAUAAUAAGGAAACGAAGAGGACAAGUGACAAUCUUCAGGCUUAAGGAUUACUGUUGGCAUAAAUGACUCAAUUGAAACGUGUUUUGGGGAUAAAAUGAAGUAUUUGAAAAUAUUUAUCCCUAUUACACACUGCUUAAGUUUUGUUCAGAUUUCUUUAACAUAAUGUUGCACAACACAGCUAACUUCAGGAAUCUAAUGCGACCGCGUUCAUUAAUUUCAAUCCAAUGAAAUCACAAAGAUGGCGGAUUGUUCUUAAAAAUGUUUGAAGAGACGAAUUCGUGUUAUAUGUGAUGCACAUAAAACUAAAAUGGCUGUUUUUAUAAUUGAUCGAGUAUGACACGGUUAUAUCUUAAUUUUAACGAACCAAUAGAGGAACCGCAUAUUGAAAAUACCUAAAAACUCGUCGGUUUUCGGCUUUCUUAUUGGGCCAUUUAGAUUUACUAUACUACCGUAAAUACUUCGUUUAAUUAUAAAAACGGCUUUAGUGUCGUUAGACAAAUAUUAAAGUAUUCUUUAUUAUUGAAUAUAAUUUCAAUAAGGCAGCUCAAAGGAGCAGCUAUCUCAGUUACCAUUAACUGGUCCUAACAACGUAAUAUUAAAUUUGUUCAUAAAUCGAAAUGAUAGGUAGGUGUAUGUACGUAAGACAAAUAUUUUUCGUUUAAUGUAUUUGCGGAUAGUAGAAUAAAACUGUAGUAUAAAACAUUCAUGAAAUAUGCACUACGAAAGCCCAAUUUUCUAAGUAAACUCUUUUAGACCAGGAAUAUAAAUUUUAUGCUUUUGUUCUACAAGAAUCGAGUUACACUAUGUACCAGGUAUAAUUUAUAUUUUUUAUUUUAAUCGAAAUAAUGACGUGACGUAAAACUGCGGGCAAAAUCAAAAGAAUGUGUUGGUGUUCUUGUGUAGCACCAUGUAAAGUUUUAUUCUACAUUAUUACGCUGUAUCGCAUAAUUAUUUUAUAUUUAAUAGUUUGUUAAUUUUUUCUUGUUCUUGUUAUUAUUAAUGUUUUAGAGUGUGUUCCUCGUUACCAAAGAAAUUUAUUACUGCGGAAAUUUGUAUCAAAGAUGUUAUUGUAAGAUCAAAUGGCGACUUGCUUUUGAAUAUUUACCAAUUAUUUAACAUCCGACGACAUGCCUAGAGUUUUUUAGCAACGUAAGUUAAGGGUGAGUUUCCAAACACUUUGUAAAUGUUCAAAAGUAACUCCCGAGUGUUCAUGUUGAAAUCUAUAUUUUUUGCAUUUGUUAACUUAACUUUAAGUUACCUUUUAAAGAGUUCAAACGUAACAUUGCAAUAUUACUAUACCAAAGAAUCAUCAGGUCGAUUCUUAGCCUUAACAAAAAUUAGUGCCUUAAAUAAUUUUAUUAUACGAUGUAUCGUUAAGUAAGUUAUUAAUGUUAUGAAGUUUUACGCGGUUAACUCGCUGUGUGCAGAGUACUAGGUAAUGUGCGUUGAGUGUUCAUUGUAUAUUUUAUAUGAAUAUUAGAUUAGUUUUAUAUAUUUUUAAUAUGUUGUUUUAACCUAGGAACCCACCAACUACGUAGUUUAGUCAAAUUAACACUUUUCGGCGGUAUAUUAUUAAAAUUAUAUUUAUGGAAGGAUCCAAUUUAUAAUUUCUGGGUAAUUACAUUUUCUAAUAGGUCUUAACAAUCGACAUGGAGAUAUGGUGAGGUUGUUGUUGAGUUAGACCGAUAUUACUUCCUAGGCAUAUGUCUAGCCCGUUACUAUGGUAUUCGAGUGUUUCGUUUUCAUAUUCAAAUUCGUAAAGAAUAUAGUUGAUGUGUAUUUCUCAAAAUGAAUGUAAGUAACGAAAUAGUAUUUCAAAAAAUUAUUAUGAUUUUUUCUGUCACAUUCGUCUCUCCUUUGUUUGUCUUAAUACAUUUGCGCUAUCAAAAAUAUAUAAUGAAUGAACAACAAAAACACAUAUGACAGAAAAUCGUAGUAAUAUUUUGUUAAAUCUAUUUCGUUACGUACAUUUAUUUUGAGAAAUACCCAUAUGCGA